rnacentral:rRNA from 1 species
GUAAUGCUUAGGAAUCUGCCUAUUAGUGGGGGACAACAUCUCGAAUGGGAUGCUAAUACCGCAUACGUCCUACGGGAGAAAGCAGGGGACCUUCGGGCCUUGCGCUAAUAGAUGAGCCUAAGUCGGAUUAGCUAGUUGGUGGGGUAAAGGCCUACCAAGGCGACGAUCUGUAGCGGGUCUGAGAGGAUGAUCCGCCACACUGGGACUGAGACACGGCCCAGACUCUUACGGGAGGCAGCAGUGGGGAAUAUUGGACAAUGGGGGGAACCCUGAUCCAGCCAUGCCGCGUGUGUGAAGAAGGCCUUUUGGUUGUAAAGCACUUUAAGCGAGGAGGAGGCUACCGAGAUUAAUACUCUUGGAUAGUGGACGUUACUCGCAGAAUAAGCACCGGCUAACUCUGUGCCAGCAGCCGCGGUAAUACAGAGGGUGCAAGCGUUAAUCGGAUUUACUGGGCGUAAAGCGCGCGUAGGUGGCCAAUUAAGUCAAAUGUGAAAUCCCCGAGCUUAACUUGGGAAUUGCAUUCGAUACUGGUUGGCUAGAGUAUGGGAGAGGAUGGUAGAAUUCCAGGUGUAGCGGUGAAAUGCGUAGAGAUCUGGAGGAAUACCGAUGGCGAAGGCAGCCAUCUGGCCUAAUACUGACACUGAGGUG